CGAACAGCAUCUGCCAGUAGAAGUGGCGCCGCAGCCGCUCCCCGCGCCAGCGGCUCUGCAGUCCCAGACAGCCUCUGGCUGAUGAAGCAACUGUGCCCAGGAUCGCACAGCUCCAGUGUGAUGAGAUUCUGACCUGCCCGGGAUCCAGAGUGCUCCACUCCUCUGUCUUCUUUCCCAAGCUCUGGGAAAACUCAGGCCAAAACCCUCAAGUCCUCACCUAAACUUUACAGACGGAGGAAAUGGCUCACCUAAAACUCCGAUCUCAAAGGUUCUAUUCCGUUCACAUCAACAUUAUUAAGCACCCACUUCACACAAGGGAUUUUACAUCUUCUAUGUCCUAUGUCAGCGACACCUUUUUCCUCUGGGGGAUUGGACUCCGUGCCAGCUGGUUGGGUGCACGGCCACCAAAAGUAACAAGGGCCCAGCCAGGCCUCCCCAGGCUUGUGGUCUGUGGGGAAACCAGCCAGAUGGGCUGACAGGAAUGAGUGAUGGGCCCAGGGCACAGCUGAGGAAGAGUCUGGAACAGUAGCGGCAGGUGCUUUAUUUUACAUUAAAGUAAAACAUUAUAGAUG